AAAUACUUCAAAAUUUUAUAAUUAAAUCUACUUUCAAUACAGUGAGAAAUACUUAUAUAAUAAAUGGUUUUCAAAAUUUAAUUCUGAUUGACAAUUCAAGUUCCAUUUAUUUUCAAUUUUCAAAUUUAAGUUUUUUAUAAACUUUGGCUCAUUUCCAGUCAUGAUCAGUUCACAUGUCCUAUAUACAGGUGAUUUUAAUAGCUAUACCACACCACACCUGACCUCAUAAACAAUCACUUUACCUGGUCAGGUAGAUCUAUAAUUAUCCCAACAGGUACCAGUUGUGAGUAAGACAGUUGUUCUGUAACAACUGACCUCCAGGGUUGUAAAAUAAAUCAUUAUUGUGUUUACGGUCUGCCAAUAAACAGAGAAUGGGAGCUAUAAACACACAACAUCAAAGCUACCCAGGGGAGACAACUCUCAUUCACAAGUCGAAACAACAUCAGCUUCACCUGCUAACCACCAUAGAGGUUAUAUGUAUGUAGUCAAAUAACAGACAUAUGUUCUUUAUCAAAGGCCCAGGGAGUUAAUUUGAAUGCUUAGACUGACCACUGACCACAGGGGUUCAUCUCAUCCAACCAAUUAAAGCUGUAUCCCAAACAAAGACCUACAUCAUCAAAAUCAUGCAUUGUAAAAAAAACAGUUUUCCAGUAACAGUAUUCAAAAAAUAAAAAUAAAGAAAAAAACAAUUCAUAUUUGAAGUCUUGCAAAAGUCAUUAUUAGCUCAGAUAUGCAAUGUGUGUGAUCUGAACCAGUUUUCAGUAUUGUACCUAAGUGUACACCUGGUCAUGAAUCUCCUAAAAAUCUUCUAAGUUCUAUAAAAAUCUUUACCCUUUUGGUGCCUUAUGGAAACUAGAGAAAUCUUGACCCUUUUGGUGCCUCAUGAAAACAUUUACUUGUUGGCUGGUAUUGUAAUCUGGACUCUUUUAGAGCCAUAUGAAAACUAGAGAAAUCUUGGCCCUUUGGAGCCUCCUACAUGCAAUUGGCCCUUUUGGAGCCCCCUGAAAACAUCUAUCGAAAUCUUGGCCCUUUCGUACCUCCUGAAAGCUUUUAAAGAAGCCUUGGCCCUUCUGGUGCCUCUCAAGAGAAGCUCCAAAUGGACAGACCAUAAGGAAGCCUGUUUGUGAUAUCCCUGGAUGUAAAUAUUGAGGAUGUGAGUAACAAUGGAAAUCAACCUUGGACCAGGACACCUGUUCCUAAUGUGGCUGUGUUUAUUGGGUGAUAAAGGAAUUAGGGGAUCAGUCAUGCUCCUCCUAUGUUUAUGGUAUACUGAUGAGACCGACAGACAUAGUAAAUGUUCUCAAUAAUUGAUAUCCAAAAAUACUGUACAUGUACCAGGCAUUCACCAUAAUUAGUGCAUGCCUCUUCUCCAAUAAGCACCAAUUGCAAUCACACUAUUUUUGAAAGAUUUAUCUAUAAAUAAGCACACACACCCAUUCCACCCUAGUUCUGAUCAACUCAAGAUAAUUUGUAAUAAUCAGUUUACACCAUAAAUACAUGCACAUAUGGCAAUGGCAUGUGUCUUAACUUAUGUAUUAAAUUUUUUCAAUUAUAAUUUUCAAUAUUCUUGAAAAAGAACCAUAACAAUUUCCAUAUAACAUUGUCUUUAAUGAAAUAACGAGACACAUGGAAACACUUCUGUUACAGCAGGUAACUUGGUGAGUUUGUAUAGCUAAUAAACUGCAAAACCAGCCACCAGACGUUUGGCCUGAAAAACCAAAACAUACAGUGUAUGUCUGUUUCAACAACUUCAUGUUGAUACACAAGCAUUCUCAGGUUAAAUACACUGAGAUGUAUGUACUGAAUGAUCGCAUUUCUUUUUAUACCCAGAAAUGUUGCAUAGACUUCUCUAAGGGCUUUUGUGACCCAAAAAUGUUAUAGAAGAAGAAAAAAAUUCAGACUGCAGAUUGCCACAACAUCUACCAGUAUCCAACAUAUGGUGUUUUAAAACAAUAUUCAAGUUGGUAGCACUCCUACUUUCAUUCUAUGGAAGGCUACAUACACAUUAUACCCACCAUCUCAAUGACAUCCUGUAUGAGUAUGUGAUUGCCUCUUCAGAUUAAUGACUGUAUCAAAUUCUAUAUCUAUACAAUUGUAUUCAAAUAUCAGGUUUCUAUAAUUCCUUAUCAAAAGGAGUAUAUGAACAUAAUUACUGCAUCCAUUAGCAAACUUCAAUUCUUUUUUCCUUAGUUUUGUCAUCUACUUGUCUUCUUCGUAACAAUGACUUCUGCAGUUAAGUUUUUCUGACUUUUUCAAAAUUACCUGUACAUAAUCUUAAUGAUCUUUUUAAACAGCAGCAUACAUUUGAUGACUUCAGAAGUUCAGAACACACAGUUGGAAGGUUUUUAUCCAGGACUAAUACAACCAUGAUAUUUACAUGUUUAUGAGGAUGUGGAUGCAGUAAUGGAAAAUCUACAUGAUGUAUAUAUACGGAAAACAUAAUUCAAACCACCAGACCUUGGAUACCUGUAUAGGCUGAUGCUAUAUAACAAUUAUCUCCUAAUCUAAUAGACCGGGCAUGCUGGUAGAAUCUCAUCUGGGUUCUAUACAUGCCAGGACCAAAUUUUCCAGAAACAAUCUUAAGGAGGCACAUUUCUCAAGACAGAAAAUUAGAAACACUUCAUACGCUGUAAUUAUCUAUUUGACUAUAUCUAUUUUUGUUUUAUAUAUUGCAGCAUACCCCCCCCCCCCCAAAAAAAAAAAUAAGAAACAGGGAAAAAGAAAUCAAAAAGAGGCAUGAAAAUGCGGACAAACUAACAAUUUCAAUUCCAAAGCUGAAAUCUUCUGUAACGCGUUUGUUUCUUCAUCAUAAAUCCUUACAAGUAUAUAUUUGCUAUACCCCUUUUUUGACUUUUUCUUUUAUCAUUGAUUAUAGAGUAAUUGAAUGAAGAUGAAAAAAUAUGAUCAUACCUAUUUAAUAACUAUGUUAUAUGCUUUAUAAUUUUAUAAUUGUAAUGUUGUAUAUAAUGUACAUUUUAUAUGACUUGACCAUAGACGUGAUGUCAAUAUGUUCUCAUCAGGUUUAAAUAAAGUCUAUUAUUAUCAGCUCA